rnacentral:tRNA from 1 species
GGUUGUGGCUCAGUGGUAGAGUGCUCGCCUAGCAUGUGUGAGGCACUGGGUUCGAUUCUCAGCACCA